ensembl:lincRNA
UGAAAGGCUGCCCUGGCCCUGAUGGAUGGGCCGGAAGGCGGUGGUGUCUGGCUGGAAGCUGGAGAGGGGCCUACUUGGCGGUGCUGCGCUGGGCAAGGCGCGGGUCCAGGAGGGGCGGUAUCCACUGCACGGUCAGCCCGCGGGUGUCUGAGUCUCCGACCGCUGGGCUUCGCCUGGCCUUUCCAUCAGCCUGGUCCCUCGUCUGGUCUUCCCUGUAGUUCCUCCUUUUGAUCAGUGAGGCUCCCUCUCAGAGGUUGUCGGCUGCGGGGCAGGGGUGGUAAACUCGGAUUCCAGUCACUCUUCCAGUAGGUCCCAGUUCCCCUCCUGUCUGCAGCCUGGCGCCUCCUUGCGACGGUCCCAGGCCUGGGGAGGAUAGGGCUCAGGAUCAGAUGCGCAUGCGCGCUGCGGCCUGUACGUGUGUAGACAGUUCUGGGGUGGGGUGGGGGUAGGGUUUGGUCCAGUGCCCACAGUGGUCUUGCGGGGGAUGGAUGAAGCACCUACUGAGUUUAAGGAAAGUUGCAAUGCUCAGCUCCUGCAGAGGGCCAGGCUGUCUGCAUGUAAAAAGCCUUGGGCUCUCUGGGCUCUCUGUCUGUCAUUCAAUGUCCCGGGGACUAGGAAUGCAACACAGCAAGUGUGUAUAUUUCUCUAGGUUAUUGAAAUAAGUAAACACACUUGCAAGGGGAAGGAUAGUCCCAGGGUCCUUGGUACCUUUCUCAGGCCCUCCAACCCCAGGCCAAAUUCCAAAUCCUCAGGCCUGGGCUUGUCUCCCUGUGUUUAAGCUUCGGAACCAUUGGCAUUCAUGGGUGUCUUUGACCUUCAAGGCCGCCCGUUGGUGCAGAGAUAAGAGGCCUGGAGAAGGGGUCACACAGGGAGAGAGACAGCCCUGGAAGGCUGGUCUGCAGCCACCCUGUCUCCUUUUGGAGAAGGAUCACCAAAGACAUGGCACAUCCUAAGAGACACCCUGGGGAGCCCCCUGCCAAAUGCAGAACUGCGUGGACCCCGGAGAUGUAAAUUCCCAGCAAGAAGGCAGACCACAGGAGGACGAUUGCGACCCCCGUUUCCCCGCUCUGCAUGUUGCUCUGGACUCAGAAGGGUCUGGUCCCUGGGAGAUGGGCAGCCCCAGCAGGAGCGCACUCUUCUCCCACUGCCUCUGGGAUGAGACGCUGCCAUUCCUCAGGGACCACGACAGUGUUUGGCUUCCAGUGACUCAGCAUCUUCUGUGGGGAGCGGCUGAGCUGGAGAUCGGCCGACCGCACAUCCAGGGCUACAGCAAGACCAGCCCUGAGAACAUGGAGCGCCAGAGGCGAGCCCCGUGAACAGGUUGUUGGGACUGAGGCAAAGCCAGUCCCUGGACACGGGCUGCCGGAGGCAGACUGUGCAAAUAAGUUGACCUCUAGCUCAGUGGAAUAUCAGCAGGUGUCCCGCCUUGGUGUUCCUCCCUGUUAAAUACAGCACAGAUAGCUCUGAAAAUGUUUCACUCUCCAUGUUCUCAGCAAAACACUGAGAUCUUGCCCUUGCUCCUCCGUUGCGCGCUUGCCCCCUUUUUACUAUGUAUAAAUAAAGACAAAGACCGUGCUCUUCAUCAGAGAGAUCAGGUCCCACCCAGUCCCAGCUUUCCUUUUAUUAUGUGUCUUGUCUUUUCUUAAUCUCCCGUCGCCCCCUCUCAGGACCCCACUGGCCUCCUGAGUCGCAGCAAUCUUCAG